rnacentral:lncRNA from 1 species
AUGGCGCUGCCCUCCGUGCGUCGCUGCCUGCAACUCGGUGCCGAAAACGAGCAAUUACUGAAGAAGCUGAAAAAGCUACAAAGAAAGAAUAAGGAGCUGGAAAAGGAUUUGGCUCAGAUUCAGGAAGGAGGGCGGCAGCGGCAGUUAGCGCGUGGUCGUGUUGCCAGCAGAGACGUUCAGAUUCAAACAGACACACACUUAUGGCAUAAGGGUGGAUACAGCAAGGAUCUUAAUCUGGAGGGUGAAAGUGCCAGACUACUACAGAAGUAUAGUAAUCUACAGAAAUGUUAUGUUAAGGAAAUGAAAACAAACCAGGAACAAAGUGAAACAAUUAGAAACCUCACUCUGAAAAUUCAUGAGCUAGAGCAUAAUCUUCAAGAGCAGAAGCAAAGGAUUGAGCAAUUGGAACAUAAUAAUGUUUUGUGGAAAACUCAUGCUGUUUCUGGAAAAAGAAGUCGAACCUUAGAGGGAGAAAUAGUGUCUCACAGAGACGUAUCUAAAAAGGAGUCCUGCUGUAGUAAAUAUUUAGAGCUGUUGCUAAAGGAGAUCAAAAAGUUGAAGAAAGAAAACGAAAAGUUGUCAGAGGAAAGGAGAGCACUAAGGAAGGAAUUAGCUGGAUUAAACAAGGAAUUUUUUGAAGAGAUAGAAGAUCUAAAGCGUGCUGUGCAGGAAUCUGUGAAACUGAAUAAUCAGUAUGAGAAGUGCUUGAAACAAAUAAGUGUAAUCUUUGGACUUCCUUUUACAGCACAUUUGUAA